rnacentral:rRNA from 2 species
UAACAAUGAAGAGUUUGAUCCUGGCUCAGGAUGAACGCUAGCGGCAGGCCUAAUACAUGCAAGUCGAGGGGUAACAGGAAGUGCUUGCACUUCGCUGACGACCGGCGUACGGGUGAGUAUCGCGUAUACAAUCUGCCUCAUACUAGGGAAUAGCCCGAAGAAAUUUGGAUUAAUGCCCUAUAGUAUCUUUUUAAGGCAUCUUAUUAAGAUUAAAGUUUUCGGUAUGAGAUGAGUAUGCGUUCUAUUAGCUAGUAGGUGUGGUAACGGCACACCUAGGCUACGAUAGAUAGGGGCCCUGAGAGGGGGAUCCCCCACACUGGUACUGAGACACGGACCAGACUCCUACGGGAGGCAGCAGUGAGGAAUAU